UGGGGAUGCGUUCCAUUAGUUUGUUGGCGGGGUAACGGCCCACCAAGACAUCGAUGGAUAGGGGUUCUGAGAGGAAGGUCCCCCACAUUGGAACUGAGACACGGUCCAAACUCCUACGGGAGGCAGCAGUGAGGAAUAUUGGUCAAUGGACGAGAGUCUGAACCAGCCAAGUAGCGUGAAGGAUGACUGCCCUAUGGGUUGUAAACUUCUUUUAUAUGGGAAUAAAGUGAGSCACGUGUGSCUUUUUGUAUGUACCAUAYGAAUAAGGAUCGGCUAACUCCGUGCCAGCAGCCGCGGUAAUACGGAGGAUCCGAGCGUUAUCCGGAUUUAUUGGGUUUAAAGGGAGCGUAGGCGGA
rnacentral:rRNA from 1 species